rnacentral:rRNA from 1 species
UACGGAGGGUGCGAGCGUUGUCCGGAAUCACUGGGCGUAAAGGGCGCGUAGGCGGCCCUCUAAGUCACUUGUGAAAUCCUGGGGCUCAACUCCAGGGCGGCAGGUGAGACUGGAAGGCUAGGGCUCGGUAGAGGCGAGUGGAAUUCCCGGUGUAGCGGUGGAAUGCGUAGAUAUCGGGAAGAACACCGGUGGCGAAGGCGGCUCGCUGGGCCGAUGCUGACGCUGAGGCGCGAAAGCGUGGGGAGCAAACAGG